CAGCAGCCUCUGCCUCCGCAGGUAGAGCUUAAAGGUCUGCAGCAGCCCCAGGGCCAGGCAGAACACGAACGCCAGCACAGGGAAUUGGAGAUACCAAAAAAAUCCCAUCAACAUGGAUAGUGGUGCCUCUAGAUGGAAAUAAGCCCCAUGAGACUCCCGGAAGGAGGCCUGUGCCUCUACCAAUGCUCAUCUGAUGGCUACUUCCAUGUCAGACACGAGAGACAAGAAAUGAAGGUCAUUGAGGGGCUACUUCAAUCCUACACACAGCCCAAAGAAAACCAUACAUUUGUCUACAAACAGCAGUGCAAGUUCAUCUGCGUCUCGUUAUUGGGCUGCAAGAAUAAGCAACCUGACCCUCAGUUUGGUCUGGGAACAAAUUUGGUGAGGCAGCCAGGAGCCACUGGGACGGUGCUGUUUUCAACCGUCAGCGGCUUGUGAUGAAACAGUCUUCAGGAGGAUCCCAGCAGCUGCUGGGUGAGAGUUUCCCAGGGAUCCCUUCUGAGGGCUGUCCCAUGUGAAAAAUUGCAUGUCCCUCCCACUGUUGGGGAAGACUGGAGAUCAGGGAUGAACGUGCUGGAAGGGUUAGUUAAUUGGAUUGUAUGCCAGGAGUCUGUUGCUUUCCUAUCUGGGCUUGUUAAGCCACUUGUCUGGUACCGCCAGGGGAGCAAUAAGGCUUGCUCAUACACCCACUUUGCAUUUUGGUUAAGAUCAGGUUUUGUGUUGAUUUUGAGUCUGUUCUGCCUGAAUGCACUCCCCCUGGUGUUUGUCUGAAUUCUGUCUCCACUUGUUUGUGUAUCUGUCUUGUCUCUUUUGAUGCCAUGUAAGAGGUGUCAGGUCCAUCCCUGCUGGGAGCCCUCUGGGAAGGAAAAAGGUCUUUUUAAAGGAGCUCAAUGAUUAAAAGUCAGCUUAAUUAAAAGGUAACAUCUAAGAUGUGUAUAU